CCUGGAAACAUUGCCUCAUAAUGGAAAAGCUGAUUUCUGACCCUGGCUGAGCCAAUGAUCUAGACAAAUGGUAAAGAAGUCUAGAGUUGUGAAGCUGUGUCUCUCAUAAUGUUGUGUCUGAAAUUGUACAGGAAAAUCGAAAAAUAUCUACAUGACUUGGAAAGGGAAACUUUCUGGAGUGACACUAAGGAUAAUGAUGUUUCGCACUCACCAAAGGGGACUGAAGAAUCAUCCCCCACAGAUACAGGCCUCCAGGGCAAUAUACCUUUACAACCAGAGACCACAAGAGUGUCACCAUCCAUAGAAAAACAG